AAUGAUCUUCUCUUUGAAGUCUAUCAUCUUCUUCUCUUCCUCUUCUUUCGUCAGAGAGCACCACUGCAUGAAAAGAGAGACGCCCUUGUAAAUGAGUAAACACGGGGAAUUAACCGUUUUAGCUCUAAAAGUCAUCUCAUUCCCGGUAAGCCAUAUUGUCCAGCAAAAGGCUCCCAGAAUCAUCUGCAUAGCUUUACAAUGGUUAUUAGAAUAACCUUCUAAACUAAAAUGUAACAACAUCU
rnacentral:lncRNA from 1 species